AUGGAUAGUAACCGAGCCCCUGGCCCUGACAGCAUUCCAGCGGAAUUCUACCGUUACUGUUGGGACAUUGUUAAGCAAGAUAUCAUGAAUCUCUUCGUGGCCUUUCACGAAGGCUCCUUGGAUGUGGAGAGACUUAAUUAUGGUAUUAUUACUCUAAUUCCAAAAAUCAAUGGGGCGAAAAAAAUUCAAGAAUUUCGUCCUAUCUGCCUCUUACCAUGCCCUUAUAAGCUGAUAACUAAGGUCUUGGACAAUAGAGCGGCUGUCUUAACUAGCAAGCUUAUCAGUCGUAACCAAAAUGCCUUCAUCAAGAAGCACAACAUCAUGGAUGGGAUCCUGAUGUUGUAUGAAGUGCUUCACCAUACACAUAUCAAAAAGAAAACGGGGAUUGUGCUAAAACUCGAUUUCGAGAAAGCAUAUGACAAGGUCAACUGGGAAUUCCUCUUGGAAUGCCACAGACUAAGGGGGUUUAGCGACAAAUGGUGUGCUCGGAUUGAUCAAAUCCCCCGUAACGGUACGAUGAGUGUUAAAAUUAACAACAUCCUGGGACCAUACUUUCAAAGCUACAAAGGGGUCCGCUAA
rnacentral:rRNA from 1 species